GUUUCACAGGCGCCCACAUGAUAGGGGAGCUGGAGGAACCUGCCGUCUCCGCCAUCGAGCGCCCCUCCGAGCUGGGGUUGGACGCUGCCAGUUUGCACAGCAGCAGGUGCACAGCCCAGGGGCAUUGUACACAACCGCGGUGUUGUGCAGCCGACGCCCCCAUCCAACUCCAGAAUGUUUGUAUCUUCCCAAACUGAAACUCUGUCCCCAGUAACCCCGGCUCCCCUCCUCCCCCACCCGCUGGAAACCACGACUCCGCCGCCCACCUCUGCAUUUGACUGCUCCAAGUACCUCAGGAAAUGACCUCAUGCGGUCUCCGCACGUUCGCGUCCAUCUUGUUUAUUUCCAGCGUUUGGCCCGUGGGAGCGAUGAGCGCACCUGUUCAGCCCCUGCUUUCAGUUCUUUCAGGGAGUUCUCACGUGGUCUUCAGAGGUUCCCACACGCUGCUUCCCACAGCAGCUGCACCAUUGUACAUUCCAACAGCAACGGACAAGGGCUCCAAUCUCUUCGUAUUCUUGCAAACAUUUACUAUUUUAUGUGGUUUUUUUUUCUUUUCUUUUUUUUUUUUUUUUUUUGAGACGGAGUCUCGCUCUGUCGCCCAGGCUGGAGUGCAGUGGUGCGAUCUCGGCUCACUGCAAGCUCCACCUCCCGGGUUCCCGCCAUUCUCCUGCCUCAGCCGCCCGAGUAGCUGGGACUACAGGCGCCCGCUACCACGCCCGGCUAAUUUUUUGUAUUUUUAUUAGAGACGGGGUUUCACCGUAUUAGCCAGGAUGGUCUCGAUCUCCUGACCUCGUGAUCCACCCGCCUCGGCCUCCCAAAGUGCUGGGAUUACAGGCGUGCGCUACUGCCCGGUUUGAAAAGGCAAUUGAGGUUUCUAAACUCCUACUAAAGGAAAUAAUUCCUAGAGUUGGGCUGCCUAAGAGCUUACAGAGCGAUAAUGGCUCACCUUUCACAGCGACAGUUACCCGAAACACAUCUUCAGCCCUAGGAAUUCAGUGCCGCCUUGACUCGGCACGGAGGCCACAGUCUUUGGGGAAAGUAGAAAGAGCUAAUCAAACUCUAAAAAGGACUCUUGCUAAACUAUGCCAAGAGACAUCAGAAACCUGGAGGUCUUUAUUACCUGUAGCCUUAUUACGGGUUCGAAUGGCCCCUAAGGGAAAUCUGCAUCUCAGCACUUUUGAAAUAAUGUAUAGAAGGCCUUUCUUAACUACAGACCUCCUAAUAGACAUAGAUACUUUCAAGCUACAGAAUUAUGUGAUCAACUUAGGACAAGUGCAAAACGCACUCCUUGACUAUGGAAAUCAGAGACUCCCUUCCCCCACUGAGGAAGACAAUCUGGUUCCAACCCAGCUGGGAGACUGGGUCCUAUUGCAAACUUGGAAGGAAGGAUCCUCAGCAGAUCAACUUUCCCCCCAAGUGGAGGGGACUCUAUCAAGUUCUCCUUAGUACCCCAACUACAGUUAAACUUCUGGGAAUAAACAGCUGGGUCCACUUAUCUCAAAUUAAACCUGUCUCUUAUAAAGCCCCACAGGCCAACGGAACACAAGAGACUGAUCCCGUUUAUUCCCGUGAGCCAGUCAGUGACCUCUGAUUCCUGUUCCUAAGAAAUGAGAGGGAUGGGGGGCAUAAAUACCUGGAUUGGCAUUCUACUUUUAGGCACAAGUUGGAAUCAUGCAGAGAGUGAUUUAUUUACUGAGUAGGCACAGACUUUAGCCUGUCUACAUAAUCACAUAAACGGUUGGGUAUGUGGAGAAUUGCCACUUUCCUCCACCUCUGGGUUGCCCUGGCAUAGUCAACUGGCCAGCCUAAGUCUGUGGGGAUUUUACGUUCCAGACCAUUACCCAGGCUAUGAGAGCUUUAGAGCUCACGUCUCUGCCAUUGAUGAGCUGUCAGUCAGUCCUCUAUUGGCUUGGUUCCAACAGCUGCCCAGUUCUUGGAAAGCCUUUCUGUUUAGCUAGUUUACUUGGAAUGAUUUUAUUUAUUUUGCUUUGCUAUUGUAGAAUAUAUUGCGGUUGUACUCUUUGUGUAGGAAUGCAUGACAAGCUCACUCAACACUUUCUUCAGUUGGACAUUUUUUUGUUUUUUUUUUGUUUUUUUUUGAGACGGAGUCUUUCUCUGUAGCCCAGGCUGGAGUGCAGUGGCAUGAUCUUGGCUCACUGCAACCUCCACCUUCUGGGUUCAAGUGAUUCUCCUGCCUCAGCCUCUUGAGUAGCUGGGAUUACAGGCGCACACCACCAUGCCUAGCUAAUUUUGUAUUUUUAGUAGAGACGGGGUUUCUCCAUGUUGGUCAGGCUGGUCUUGAACUCCUGACCUCAGAUGAUCCACCCGCCUCAGCCUUCCAAAGUGCUGGGAUUACAGGUGUGAACCACCAUGCCCAUCCUGUUUUUCCUUCUUAAAUGAGACAAGAGGGAUAGAGAAUGGGGCUGUGUGUUUCCCUUCCCAACAUAAAAGACUGGAGGGAGCUGGAGUUGAUACUUCCCUUCCUCCAGGUUGGUUAGACUCUGAUUAAACUCUGGUACGUUAAAAAUAGUUUCUCUUGAGGGCAGAGGAAGAACAGAAUGCUCUGGCAUAUUUCGAAAGUGCUACUUCUCCCCUCCCCUUGUCCAAAGCACAAGGGGAUUUUUCUCUGGUAUUUACCUGGGGGAUCUGGUAGAGUUUGUGCAGGUAAAACUCACAGAAGUGUGGCCUCCACCCUAAGACUGGGCCCUGGAGUUUUUAACUGUCAAGCUUGGCCACACAGCCUCCAGCAAUCUGCCAGUGACAGUUUAGGUUUUCCCAACCUGGCAGUGGUUCCCAGGGAGGUGUCUGCUCUGCAGAAUUGGGAUUCUCUGCAUCUGUCUGUCGUCUCUACAACUUUUUUGGGCAGUGGUUUGCCCUGUGACCUCAUCAUCUGUUGAAUAUAAGAAAUAUUAUUGACUUUCAGUUUGCUCACGUUUUGUUCUUGUGAAAAGAUUGAUUGUUUCCAAGCUUCUCACACAGUGGACUAGAAAUUGAUUCAUUUCAUUUAUCCUUUUUGGGUUUGUGGGGUUCUUGAAUUUGUGACUUGAUGAUUUUGAUUACUUUUAGAAAUUUCCUGGCUAUUAACUCUGGAGUAUUGCUUCAACCUCAUGUUCUCUCAUCUCCUCUCUGGGAUCCAGUUACAAAUAUAUUGGUCCUUCUUCCUGAAUCCUUUGUGUAUCUUAACCUGUCACCUGUAUUUUCCAUUUGUAUUAUCCAUACUUCAUUCUGAAUAUUUUCUACUGACCUAUUUUCCACUUCACUAAUUCUCUCUUCAGCUGAAUUUGCUAUUAAAGCCACUAAGUUUAUAAUUUAAGUGAUUUUAUUUUUCAGUGCUAGAAUUUUCAUUUGGUUUUUCUAGGUUUUUUUUUUUUUUUUUGCUGAAAUUCUAAAUUCCACCUCUAUUUCUGCAAAUGCUGUAAGCACAGUUUUGUUCCAGUCUCUGUCUCGCGACUCCAGUGUCUGGACUGGUAGAUCUUCUGCCUAUGGUCUCUGCUGCUUUCAUUCUUGCUGAUUUGUUUUUUCAAUUGUCUAGAAUUUUUAUUGUGGACUGAACAUUGUAUUUGUAAAAUUAUUUUGUAGAAAUCAUUUGAGGUCUAUUUUAUUUUCCUCCAGAGAGGGUUUAUGUUUGCAUCUGCGAGACAUGGGGGCACUAGGGGUCCUGGAUCAUCUUACUCUAGUUUCAGGGAUUGAAAUCAUUUCAAGAUGAUUACAGUUUAGGUUUUCCUACCCUGGCAGUGGUGCAAAAGGCCCUGAGUUGCUGCAAGAGCCGGUCUCCUUCUAUCCACCCCUAUGUCUAGGGUGCGGUUAUUUGUUGUCCCAACUCAAAAUGGUGGGGGUCGGGGGGAUGUUCGCCAACUCCCCACUCUCAGGUGGGCUGAAUCUCUCGCUGUCUGGCUCCUCAGUGGGCUGUGAGCUAUCUGAAGCAGCAAAUGCUUUGGGGGAAAAGUGAGCGUCCCGAAGGCUUUUUUCACUCUGGAUCUUUGUCUUUCUGGGAUUUUGUUUGUUUGCAUUCCAAGCAAAUAUUUUUAACAUUUUGCUCAGCUUUUGUAGUCACCAUCAGAAAAGUGAUGGGUCCAGAUUAACUAGUCCCUAAUAACCAGAAACUGGAAGUCUGAUGGUUGUUUUCAGUCUUGAACAACAUUGAUUCUGCGGUGACCAGUUUAGAGUUCAUGCAAUAGACCUUCCUCCCCCUUGUAAAAUCAUCACUAUUUCAGCUAAUACUUAGAGUGACCUCCUGGUGACUCAUCCUCAGCCCCCUUUGCCGGUUCUUCUUUUCCCCGACAUUUUCAUUCUGGAGGGCUUGGGAUUCAGUCCUUUGGCCUUUUUCCUAGCUGUGUCUGCCC
rnacentral:lncRNA from 1 species